rnacentral:rRNA from 3 species
CAGUGGGGAAUUUUGGACAAUGGGCGCAAGCCUGAUCCAGCCAUGCCGCGUGUCUGAAGAAGGCCUUCGGGUUGUAAAGGACUUUUGUCAGGGAGGAAAUCCCUAGCGCUAAUAUCGCUGGGGGAUGACAGUACCUGAAGAAUAAGCACCGGCUAACUACGUGCCAGCAGCCGCGGUAAUACGUAGGGUGCAAGCGUUAAUCGGAAUUACUGGGCGUAAAGCGUGCGCAGGCGGUUGUGUAAGUCUGAUGUGAAAGCCCCGGGCUUAACCUGGGAACGGCAUUGGAGACUGCACAGCUAGAGUGCGUCAGAGGGGGGUAGAAUUCCACGUGUAGCAGUGAAAUGCGUAGAGAUG